rnacentral:rRNA from 1 species
AUUGAACGCUGGCGGCGUGCCUAAUACAUGCAAGUAGGACGCAGUUGCGAACGGGUGAGUAACGCGUAGGUAACUACCUAUUAGAGGGGGAUAACUAUUGGUAACGAUAGCUUAUACCGCAUACUAGUAGAUGGACCUGCGUUGUAUUAGCUAGUAGGUAGGGUAAUGGCCUACCUAGGCAACGAUACAUAGCCGGGCUGAGAGGGUGGUCGGCCACACUUGGACUGGGACACGGCCCAGACUCCUACGGGAGGCAGCAGUAGGGGAACUUCGGCAAUGGGGGGAACGCUGACCGAGCAACGGCGCGUGAGUGGAGAAGGGUUUCGGAUCGUAAAGCUCUGUUGUUAAGGAAGCGGUACUUAACCAAGAAGGGACGGCUAACUACGUGCCAGCAGCCGCGGUAAUUC